rnacentral:tRNA from 1 species
UGCGCCGUAGAGCAGAUGGUAGCUCGCCGGGUUCAUAUCCCGGAGGUCGGAGGUUCGAGUCCUCCCGGUCGCAAC